AACGAACGCUGGCGGCAUGCCUAACACAUGCAAGUCGAACGAGAUCUUCGGGUCUAGUGGCGCACGGGUGCGUAACACGUGGGAAUCUGCCCUUGGGUUCGGAAUAACUCUCCGAAAGGAGUGCUAAUACCGGAUGAUGUCGAAAGACCAAAGAUUUAUCGCCCAGGGAUGAGCCCGCGUAGGAUUAGCUAGUUGGUGAGGUAAAGGCUCACCAAGGCGACGAUCCUUAGCUGGUCUGAGAGGAGGAUCAGCCACACUGGGACUGAGACACGGCCCAGACUCCUACGGGAGGCAGCAGUGGGGAAUAUUGGACAAUGGGCGAAAGCCUGAUCCAGCAAUGCCGCGUGAGUGAUGAAGGCCUUAGGGUUGUAAAGCUCUUUUACCCGGGAUGAUAAUGACAGUACCGGGAGAAUAAGCCCCGGCUAACUCCGUGCCAGCAGCCGCCGUAAGAC
rnacentral:rRNA from 1 species